UCGUUUAACGGCUGUGUUGCCUUUGCACACGGCACGCAGCGGGGUGAGGGCGGGGCGUGCUCGCGUCGGUGACGUCACCCGCGGCUCGGUUAACGGCUGUGUUGCCUUUGCACACGGCACGCAGCGGGGUGAGGGCGGGGCGUGCUCGCGUCGGUGACGUCACCGCCCGGCGAAUAGCAAUAACGAGCACAGGGACGCGAGGCGUUGUUAUGAUGAUGGACAGCGGGCUGAGCCACUAGAAAGCGGAUAUUGUUUCCCGCCCAUUUCAUCGCUCCGCCCCGUGUCGUGUUUGUGUGAGGGAGCCGAAAUAAGCCGGCGCUGCCCCGUAGGACGAGUGCUAAGUGCAGCUGUAGUGAGGAGUGCUCGGAGCAGGAGGAGUUCGUCGCGUCGGC
rnacentral:lncRNA from 1 species